rnacentral:rRNA from 1 species
CACCAGACUCCUACGGGAGGCAGCAGUGGGGAAUAUUGGGCAAUGGGCGAAAGCCUGACCCAGCAAUGCCGCAUGAAGGAAGAAGGCUUUCGGGUUGUAAACUUCUUUGACAGGGGAAGAGCAGAAGACGGUACCCUGAAAACAAGCCACGGCUAACUACGUGCCAGCAGCCGCGGUAAUACGUAGAUGGCAAGCGUUGUCCGGAUUUACUGGGUGUAAAGGGCGUGUAGCCGGGCUGACAAGUCAGAUGUGAAAUCCGGGGGCUCAACCCCCGAACUGCAUUUGAAACUGUUGGUCUUGAGUAUCGGAGAGGCAGGCGGAAUUCCUAGUGUAGCGGUGAAAUGCGUAGAUAUUAGGAGGAACACCAGUGGCGAAGGCGGCCUGCUGGACGACAACUGACGGUGAGGCGCGAAAGCGUGGGGAGCAAACAGGAUUAGAUACCCCAGUAA